rnacentral:tRNA from 1 species
GCCUUCGUCGUGUAGCGGUAGCACACUCGCCGCGUGUUCGAGAGGUCCAGGUUCGAGUCCCGGCUAGGGCA